rnacentral:snRNA from 1 species
AAAUGUGAGGGUUAUCUGUUUGCAACAUCUGUCACUCCACUGAUCACCAGGAAGUCCCCGUCCUCCCUCUCCACUUCAUGUAUAUCCCUCCUGAAGCUGUGCACUUGGUCAAAGAGGAUGACCAUCCCUGAAAGAGGAGGACUGGUCUUCAGUCAAGGGUACACACGUAGCUGUGCUUCCCUGUUAGAAUCGCCAAACAAGCACUCAGUUUAGUUCAACAGACAUUUAUUGGAUAUUUCCUGCAUGUCAGGCACUGUUUUAAAUAGCUCAUCUGAAAUAGUGGUCUUUAAAUGUAUUC